AUUGGUUUUCUUUGGCCGAAGCCAUAACAAGACUUUAGAUGUGGGUGGGAAGAAAAAAAUAAAAUCAAGUUUUCAAAUCUGAAAAAUGUCUUGGCAUGGGUUUUUCCGAGGCCUGCGAUGUAGACGUUUGUCCUCACUUUAUUUGCUCAGCAAGAUUUUUCUUUCUGUAGGACAUCCCACAUGGAGAUGCAGAACCUGGCAGCCAGAAGGGGCAGUGGCCCUGGCAACCCAUUAACUACAGAUGGAUAGAUACAUAGCUUAGCUCAGCAUCCAGAGUUCUUCGUGGUCUUCACCCAACCUGCUGUUAAAAACUUCUUAACUCCUUCUCCUCUUCAGCUCACCAACUCUGGCUCAGCACAGCCCAGCUGACAUUUUUCAUGCCCUGCACUGCACCAAGAAACCGGAAAGGCACUGGAGUUACCAGGAUGGACAAGACUCAGAACGUUCCCUUGACAGGGACAAUAUUUGGUGUUUCUCAAGAAGGAGCAGUGUCACCCAAACAGGAAAGAGAGAAGAUAGACACAGGUGAGAAAACAGAAGCUAUGAGAGGCUGACUGGCUUUCCCAAGUCUACAUGGCUAGUAAGAACCCAAGAUGGGAUUCAGCCUCAGCUUCCUGGACUUCAGGCCAGAGCUCAAGCAUCAGCACUACAGCUGCCUCAGUGACAUGAAACAAAACCAGGCAGGGCUUGUUCAAGGACAUAAGCUAGCAGCUCACAAUGGGGCCUGAUGGGACAUGUUGCAUCGAAACUAGAAGUUGGCAUUGAGACCCAGGCUCGCUGUGGCUCUACAAAGCUGCCGCCACGUCAGCUGGAUGACACUGAAAUGGACGAGAAUAAAAGGCUUUUUCCUGCAGUGGGUAAUGUCCCCUUACCAGGGCCCAGGAGCUAUUGUGAUGCACUGAGCAUAAAGCUAUUGUGAUGCACUGAGCAGUGGGUAGGUGAAAAGGAGAAUUCUGGGCUGUGAAUGAGACUGCAGGCAAGGGUGAGUCACUCUGAGGCCCUACUAGCUCAGCCUGGCUACCUGGGAUCAGAACCCUCCCACCAGGCCCACCAAGGUCUUCUCUUUCCCUCCACUUCCUCCAGCUUUGAUUGUGCCCUUUCAGUUCCUCAGCCACACAGAGCUCUUUCCUACCUUAAGGUCUUUGGCCACAUUUUUCUCUUUUCCUGUAACAUUCCUUCCUGUUCUUUGCAAGUCAGACUCUUCCACAUAAAUGUUCCCAUCUCAGAAAGUCUUGUUGUGGCCGCUAUGGUGGGUUAAAUAGUGACCACUCCACUCCAAUAAGACAUGUCUAAAUUCUAACCCCUGGAACCUGAGGAGGUGACCUUGUUUGGAAAAAUGGGUCUUUGCAGGUGUAAUUAAGUUCAGGGUCUCCAGGAGAGAUCAUUCUGGAUUUAGGUGGGUCCUAAAUCUAUGACAGGUGUCCUUAUAAGAAGAGGACAGAACUCAGAGACAUUUAGGGAGAAGAAGGUAAUGUAGAGAUAGUGGCAAAGAUGGAGUGGGAAGCCCAAGUCAAGGAAUGCUGACAGCCACCAGCGUCUGGAAGAGGCAAAGACGGAUUCUCCCCUGGAGAUGUCAGAAAGACAGCAGCCCUGCAGAUCUGAUUUCAGACUUCUGAACUCUAGAGCUGUAAGGCACUAUAUUUCUGUCAUUUAAAAGCCAUCAAGUUUGUGGUGAUUUUUGCAGUAGAUCUAGAAAACUAAUACAGUCACCUAAUCCAAGUAACACCUCCGCCCUCCCCACGUACACAUUGUUGGAAUUCACUGCUAAUUUUAUGUUUGCCUCUUUCAUGUCAAUGAUUGAUUUCUAACGCUCCCAUCAUUUGGGAUGUUCUGUGUUUUGUCCGUAUUCCCUCUUCAGAUCUCUUUAGGCUCCCGUUGGCUGAGAAUUUUAGACCUUCCUCAUUUUUGAUGACCUAGAUAGUUUUGCGGAAUACUGGUCAGGUAUUUUAUAGAAUGUCUCUCCACCAGAAUUCAACGUUUUCCUCAUGAUUAGACAGGGAUUAAGGUGUUUUUUUUUUUAAAGAAAGAGGAAGAUCUCAUAGAUGUAAAGUGCCAUUCUAAUCAUAUCAUAUCCAGGGUACUCACCAUCAAUAAUAUAUAUUGUUGUUGAUAGUAACCUUGAUCAUUUGGCCAAGGCAGUGCCGGUCAGGUUUCUCCAGUGCACAGUUACUCUUUUGCUUUCUUUCUAUACUGUACUUUGGAAGGAAGUCGCUAAUGAGAAGCUAUAAUUCAUUUUUAAGUUACAGUUAAGCUUUGAUUUAAUAAGCAAUGCUUUAAAUAACAUCCACAUUGAUUGUCACAACUCUCUCAAUGGAAAAUUGAGAGUCAGAGAGGUUAAGCUAUCUUCUCAAAGUCACACAGCUAAUAAGUAGAAAAUGGAGACAAAUUGUUAGAUCUGACUCCAAAGUCUGACCUUCUCACCAUGCUCUUUUCAUACUGACGCCUUAGAGCACUAAUCAGCUAAAUUCUUAACAUAAACAUCUAAAUGUUCUGGGUCUUGCUCUGCUGAGAGUGAAAUAGAAAAGUGGGUUGGGGGAGGAUUCAUUUACCAUCUGCACUGCCUUUGGAAAUGUUUAAUACACAAUCUAUUCUACAUACCAACAUAAAUAGUAAACUAAAGUCCAUAGGUAGUCAAAUUUCCUUAGUUUAUCUUUGUGCCCCCAACACUAUGAAUAGGAGCCAUACAUCAUGUCAGCUCUGCCGGUACACCUGGAGGCCUCAUAAUCUAGCUUUGACAAUCUAACCCAUUCACAGCAAAAAGUCGUGGAAGAGCCCAAAGUGCUUUAGGAACACUAUCAAGGGCUAUAGGAAAAAGUUAAUAUAACAUCCUCCGAUAUCACAGUUUAAAGGACUUGAAGGCUCAGAGUGGUAGUAACUUACCGAAGGCUACGCAGGGAGAUACUGGUAAAGCAGGAACAAGAAACCAGAUCUUUGAUUUAGCAUAAGGCUCUUUCUGUUUAAGACGGGUGGCCUCCAAGAAAUAGCACCUCAUGGCUGAUCAUUGUUCACACUUGGCAGGCUCCAUUGAUAAAAGCUGAGUCUGAGAAAUGGGCAUCCUAUUACUGGUAAGUAUCUUCAUAUUAUCAUGACACCAUCUGACCAGCCAAGUGGGGACAUGUAGCUAAUUCCUUAUGAGCUUCAUCUGUCCCUCACGAGUCCAUCUUUAACCUCUAGGCUAACCAGGGCUGAUGAUGAAGGCACCAAAAUACAGGAAAUACCUAAACAGACUGAAACCAAAGAAAAAAGGAGAGACUCCAGGAUCCCAUGUCUGCUAUCUUCCUGUCCUACAGGGAGACAUCCUUCUGCUGAGGUCAUUUCGAGAGCUUGGGUGAGGACCACAUAAGAAGAAACUGCAGUCUCACUAGUCUGCAUAACCAAGGACAGAAAUCAGGUGACGUGUGCUGGACAUAUUUUCUUUUAUAGGAUUCAAUGAGAUCACAAAAUCAAGGACUACUGCAGUAAGUCAAUGGCAUCUAAAAAUGCUCAGAGUAGAUUCCUUUUAGGUAUUUGUGUAACAGUUUCAGCAGUGGCAAACAUCUCUGUCAAAAUUUCUCUUCUGUGUUAUCUCCAGCAAGUGUAAUGACAUGAUUGUUAUCAUUUUACAAAGGAAUAAAAUUAAAGCUCAGAGAAGUUAAAUCUC